GUGGGGAAUAUUGGACAAUGGGGGGAACCCUGAUCCAGCCAUGCCGCGUGUGUGAAGAAGGCCUUUUGGUUGUAAAGCACUUUAAGCGAGGAGGAGGCUACCGAGAUUAAUACUCUUGGAUAGUGGACGUUACUCGCAGAAUAAGCACCGGCUAACUCUGUGCCAGCAGCCGCGGUAAUACAGAGGGUGCAAGCGUUAAUCGGAUUUACUGGGCGUAAAGCGCGCGUAGGUGGCCAAUUAAGUCAAAUGUGAAAUCCCCGAGCUUAACUUGGGAAUUGCAUUCGAUACUGGGAAGCUAGAGUAUGGGAGAGGAUGGUAGAAUUCCAGGUGUAGCGGUGAAAUGCGUAGAGAUCUGGAGGAAUACCGAUGGCGAAGGCAGCCAUCUGGCCUAAUACUGACGCUGAGGUACGAAAGCAUGGGGAGCAAACAGGAUUAGAUACCCGAGUAGUCC
rnacentral:rRNA from 1 species